UACAGAGGUCUCAAGCGUUGUUCGGAUUCAUUGGGCGUAAAGGGUGCGUAGGCGGCGCGGUAAGUCGGGUGUGAAAUCUCGGAGCUUAACUCCGAAACUGCAUUCGAUACUGCCGUGCUUGAGGACUGGAGAGGAGACUGGAAUUUACGGUGUAGCGGCGAAAUGCGUAGAUAUCGUAAGGAAGACCAGUGGCGAAGGCGGGUCUCUGGACAGUUCCUGACGCUGAGGCACGAAGGUCAGGGGAGCAAACAGG
rnacentral:rRNA from 1 species